UACGGGGGGGCAAGCGUUGUUCGGAAUUACUGGGCGUAAAGGGCUCGUAGGUGGCCAACUAAGUCGGACGUGAAAUCCCUCGGCUUAACCGGGGAACUGCAUCCGAUACUGGAUGGCUUGAGUUCGGGAGAGGGAUGCGGAAUUCCAGGUGUAGCGGUGAAAUGCGUAGAUAUCUGGAGGAACACCGGUGGCGAAGGCGGCAUCCUGGACCGACACUGACGCUGAUGCGCGAAAGCCAGGGGAGCGAACGGG
rnacentral:rRNA from 1 species